CAAGUACUCCCUCGGUCCAGAAUUACUUGUCAUCAAAAUGGAUGUGUCUAGAACUAAAAUACAUCUAGAUACAUCCAUUUCAAUGACAAGUAUUUUCGGACGGAGGGAGUACAAG
rfam:Triticum aestivum genome assembly, contig: Triticum_aestivum_CS42_TGACv1_scaffold_227529_3B